AGAACGAACGCUGGCGGCAUGCCUAAUACAUGCAAGUCGAACGAACUCUUCGGAGUUAGUGGCGCACGGGUGCGUAACGCGUGGGAAUCUGCCCCUUGGUUCGGAAUAACAGUUGGAAACGACUGCUAAUACCGGAUGAUGACGAAAGUCCAAAGAUUUAUCGCCAAGGGAUGAGCCCGCGUAGGAUUAGCUAGUUGGUGAGGUAAAGGCUCACCAAGGCAACGAUCCUUAGCUGGUCUGAGAGGAUGAUCAGCCGACACUGGGACUGAGACACGGCCCAGACUCCGUACGGGAGCAGCAGUAGGGAAUAUGGACAAUGGGCAAAGCCUGAUCCAGCAAUGCCGCGUGAGUGAUGAAGGCCGUUAGGUAGUAAAGCUUACCGUUUUACCGAGUAUAGAUAAGU
rnacentral:rRNA from 1 species